UGGAUAUGAUUUUCCAGCUUUGCCACAUCAGACAAGAGGGAAUGAUUGUGGUGUUUUUGUACUCAUGUACACCCUCUCAAUGGUGUGUGGCAUUGGGUUUCAAUUCCAGGAGAUGGAUAUGCCUAUCAUCCGUCAGUGGUGGUGCCUUCUACUCAUGGAACGAUUUCAAAUUGAUGGGAUAUACUCGGUGGGAAAAGGUCAAAUUGGUUUCCACUAAAACCCCGUUCUCAAGUGCCUGUCUACAUUGAGAAUGAGCAGUCCCAGUCAAUCAUUUGUGACUACAUCAGAGGAAUUCUUAAUAAAACCAAAACACAGCUGACCUUCAAUGAUGAGGUGGAGUUCAUUUGUGGAUGUC